rnacentral:rRNA from 1 species
GACGAACGCUGGCGGCGUGCCUAAUACAUGCAAGUUGAGCGCUGAAGGUUGGUACUUGUACCAACUGGAUGAGCAGCGCACGGGUGAGUAACGCGUGGGGAAUCUGCCUUUGAGCGGGGGACAACAUUUGGAAACGAAUGCUAAUACCGCAUAAAAACUUUAAACACAAGUUUUAAGUUUGAAAGAUGCAAUUGCAUCACUCAAAGAUGAUCCCGCGUUGUAUUAGCUAGUUGGUGAGGUAAAGGCUCACCAAGGCGAUGAUACAUAGCCGACCUGAGAGGAUGAUCGGCCACAUUGGGACUGAGACACGGCCCAAACUCCUACGGGAGGCAGCAGUAGGGAAUCUUCGGCAAUGGACGAAAGUCUGACCGAGCAACGCCGCGUGAGUGAAGAAGGUUUUCGGAUCGUAAAACUCUGUUGGUAGAGAAGAACGUUGGUGAGAGUGGAAAGCUCAUCAAGUGACGGUAACUACCCAGAAAGGGACGGCUAACUACGUG